UGAAUAUGUAACUAACAUUAAUGGCUAUUCUAAUACAGACUUAAUUGUAUUAUUGCACAGGAAGGAGAAUGCUUGGUGUAUUGCAGACUAAGAGUCGUGCCCUUAUUUCUGUGUCAGUCCUGGAUCUGGAGUCAUGGUCACAGUACUGUCUAUACAGGAUUUGGUGAAAUCAAGUGCAUCAACUCUGGCAGGUUCAAAAUGUGAUGGUCUCCAAGAAAUAAUGACAUUCUGAAAUGCACAACUAAACAAUCAGUCUACAUAGAAUACUUACAGUGUGAAAACUAUCCUCACAUACCUUUACUUUUUUUAAAUAAAAAGAACGAAAUAGAAAUUAUCACAAGAAAGAGAUUAAUACUGAUU
rnacentral:lncRNA from 1 species